rnacentral:tRNA from 1 species
GUCAGGACAGCAGAGUGGACACAGCACCGGCCUGGGAGUCUGGAGACCUGGGUUCUAUUCCCAGUUCUGCCA